rnacentral:lncRNA from 1 species
UGGGCCCUUAGUCACCCUCACCUGCUACCUCCCUGGCCUGAGUCAUCACAGAGCAAACAGCACUGUUUCUCCCCCCAGCUCUCCGACUCAACUCCCUCCACGGAAACAGAAGCAACAGAGGGGCCACAAGCAUGGGGGUGCGCAGAGUCUGUCACAGCUGACAAACAUUCAGUGAAGAAAUGGAAUCUUUUCGUGGUUUCCUUGGGCUAAAAGGACAAAGCGUGCUAAAGUCAUCUACUUAUCCAGAUGAGAGAGGUAAGCACGUGAUUCUCCAC